AACAAACUCAUCUCGUCCGGAAUUACUUGUCGAAUAAAUGAAUGUAUUUGGACGUAUUUUAGUUCUAGAUGCAUCCAUUUUUAUCCAUCUUUACAACAAGUAAUUUCGGACGGAGAGAGUAGUAA
rnacentral:pre_miRNA from 1 species